GCCUCGGUGGAUCAAUUGGCAGAUCAUCCCAGCUUUAUAUAACCGGUAUACGGGAGAACGGAGGUUCGAAUCCUCCCCAAGGCA